GUCAUGAUGGCCGAGUGGUUAAGACGUUGGACUUGAAAUCCAAUGGGAUCUUCCCGCAUAGGUUCUAACCCUGCUCUUGACG